rnacentral:rRNA from 1 species
UAGGGAAUCUUGCAAUGGGCGAAAGCAUGACGGAGCAACGCCGCGUGAGUGAUGAAGGUCUUCGGAUCGUAAAACUCUGUUAUUAGGGAAGAACAUAUGUGUAAGUAACUGUGCACAUCUUGACGGUACCUUAUCAGAAAGCCACGGCUAACUACGUGCCAGCAGCCGCGGUAAUACGUAGGUGGCAAGCGUUAUCCGGAAUUAUUGGGCGUAAAGCGCGCGUAGGCGGUUUUUUAAGUCUGAUGUGAAAGCCCACGGCUCAACCGUGGAGGGUCAUUGGAAACUGGAAAACUUGAGUGCAGAAGAGGAAAGUGGAAUUCCAUGUGUAGCGGUGAAAUGCGCAGAGAUAUGGAGGAACACCAGUGGCGAAGGCGACUUUCUGGUCUGUAACUGACGCUGAUGUGCGAAAGCGUGGGGAUCAAACAGGAUUAGAUACCCUGGUAGUCCACGCCGUAAACGAUGAGUGCUAAGUGUUAGGGGGUUUCCGCCCCUUAGUGCUGCAGCUAACGCAUUAAGCACUCCGCCUGGGGAGUACGACCGCAAGGUUG